CCGGCGUCUUUGAGCUCACCCAGUUCUCCAACUGAUGGCAUGGCAGCAGCUUUGAGAAACAGUAACAGAAUGAGCAGAAACAGCUGAGAUUGCUCUUAAAAGCCCUUCACUGAAGUGAGGAAAUUAACCCCAAAGCAAAGUCAACCCAACGAUUGGAACGAUUCACUAGGAACAAAUAUGGGAAAUCCUGGUUUCUUAACACGGGCCUCAAACUCUUCCACAUCUUGCCCUGAACAAUCAACUACAACCUAUGGAGCUUUUCCAGAUGAUUACAGAGCAGAUAUUACAGGACAUUGACAGAUCUGCUGGAUGCUGGCAUCAGCUUCUUUAGCCUGACCGGGUCCUCCUACUAUUGGCAUGGGACCAACUUUGUAAUAAAACAGUCAGAGAAAUGAACAAAUAUG